GAAACGCGAUAGGUAAUGUGAAUUGCAGAAUUCCGUGAAUCAUCGAAUCUUUGAACGCACAUUGCGCCUGCUGGUAUUCCGGUAGGCAUGCCUGUUUGAGCGUCAGCAAAACUCCUCGGCAAUUUAUUUUUGCUGGUUAUGGGUACAGAGCAGACCUAGCGGUCGCUUUUGCCUUAAACUUGCUGCAUGACCGCAAGCUUAUGCUAGGUUAAUGGAGUGGUGUUUACAAUAUUCCAGCUGCCUUUUAGUAUAGCUAGUGGCAUUAAACCUGAUGUUGCUUUACUGCAACUGAAGUUUGACCUCAAAUCAGACAAGGAUACCCGCUGAACUUAA
rnacentral:misc_RNA from 1 species